rnacentral:rRNA from 1 species
UACGUAGGGGGCGAGCGUUGUCCGGAUUUAUUGGGCGUAAAAGGCUUGUAGGUGGCCACGCGAAGUCGGAUGUGAAAUCUCCGGGCUUAACUCGGAACGGUCAAGUGAUACUGUCGUGCUAGAGUACAGAAGGGGCAACUGGAAUUCUCGGUGUAGCGGUGAAAUGCGUAGAUAUCGAGAGGAACACCUGCGGCGAAGGCGGGUUGCUGGGCUGAUACUGACGCUGAGGCGCGAAAGCCAGGGGAGCGAACGGG